GACGAACGCUGGCGGCGUGCUUAACACAUGCAAGUCGAACGGAAAGGCCCUGCUUUUGUGGGGUGCUCGAGUGGCGAACGGGUGAGUAACACGUGAGUAACCUGCCCUUGACUUUGGGAUAACUUCAGGAAACUGGGGCUAAUACCGGAUAGGAGCUCCUGCUGCAUGGUGGGGGUUGGAAAGUUUCGGCGGUUGGGGAUGGACUCGCGGCUUAUCAGCUUGUUGGUGGGGUAGUGGCUUACCAAGGCUUUGACGGGUAGCCGGCCUGAGAGGGUGAGCGGCGACAUUGGGACUGAGAUACGGCCCAGACUCCUACGGGAGGCAGCAGGGGGGAAUAUUGCACAAUGGGCGGCAGCCUGAUGCAGCAACGCCGCGUGCGGGAUGACGGCCUUCGGGUUGUAAACCGCUUGCGCCUGUGACGAAGCGUGAGUGACGGUAACGGGUAAAGAAGCACCGGCUAACUACGUGC
rnacentral:rRNA from 1 species